rnacentral:rRNA from 1 species
GGAAUAUUGCACAAUGGGCGAAAGCCUGAUGCAGCGACGCCGCGUGAGUGAUGAAGUAUUUCGGUAUGUAAAGCUCUAUCAGCAGGGAAGAAAUUGACGGUACCUGACUAAGAAGCUCCGGCUAAAUACGUGCCAGCAGCCGCGGUAAUACGUAUGGAGCAAGCGUUAUCCGGAUUUACUGGGUGUAAAGGGAGUGUAGGCGGCAUUAUAAGUCUGAUGUGAAAACUCAGGGCUCAACCUUGAGAUUGCAUUGGAAACUGUAAAGCUAGAGUGUCGGAGAGGUAAGCGGAAUUCCUGGUGUAGCAGUGAAAUGCGUAGAUAUCAGGAAGAACAUCGGUGGCGAAGGCGGCUUACUGGACGAUAACUGACGCUGAGGCUCGAAAGCGUGGGGAGCGAACA